rnacentral:rRNA from 1 species
GGUUGUGAACUCGAAGAGUAGGGCGGGACACGUGGUAUCCUGUCUGAAUAUGGGGGGACCAUCCUCCAAGGCUAAAUACUCCUGACUGACCGAUAGUGAACCAGUACCGUGAGGGAAAGGCGAAAAGAACCCCGGCGAGGGGAGUGAAAAAGAACCUGAAACCGUGUACGUACAAGCAGUGGGAGCACCUUCGGGUGUGACUGCGUACCUUUUGUAUAAUGGGUCAGCGACUUAUAUUCUGUAGCAAGGUUAACCGUAUAGGGGAGCCGCAGGGAAACCGAGUCUUAACUGGGCGUUAAGUUGCAGGGUAUAGACCCGAAACCCGGUGAUCUAGCCAUGGGCAGGUUGAAGGUUGGGUAACACUAACUGGAGGACCGAACCGACUAAUGUUGAAAAAUUAGCGGAUGACUUGUGGCUGGGGGUGAAAGGCCAAUCAAACCGGGAGAUAGCUGGUUCUCCCCGAAAGCUAUUUAGGUAGCGCCUCGUGAAUUCAUCUUCGGGGGUAGAGCACUGUUUCGGCUAGGGGGUCAUCCCGACUUACCAACCCGAUGCAAACUACGAAUACCGAAGAAUGUUAUCACGGGAGACACACGGCGGGUGCUAACGUCCGUCGUGAAGAGGGAAACAACCCAGACCGCCAGCUAAGGUCCCAAAGUCAUGGUUAAGUGGGAAACGAUGUGGGAAGGCACAGACAGCCAGGAUGUUGGCUUAGAAGCAGCCAUCAUUUAAAGAAAGCGUAAUAGCUCACUGGUCGAGUCGGCCUGCGCGGAAGAUGUAACGGGGCUAAACCAUGCACCGAAGCUGCGGCAGCGACACUAUGUGUUGUUGGGUAGGGGAGCG